rnacentral:rRNA from 1 species
AGGCCAACGAUCAGUAGCUGAUAUAAGAGGAUGAUCAGCCACAUUGGGAUUGAGACACGGCCCAAACUCCUACGGGAGGCAGCAGUGGGGAAUAUUGGACAAUGGGCGCAAGCCUGAUCCAGCCAUGCCGCGUGAGUGAUGAAGGCCCUAGGGUUGUAAAGCUCUUUUGUGCGGGAAGAUAAUGACGGUACCGCAAGAAUAAGCCCCGGCUAACUUCGUGCCAGCAGCCGCGGUAAUACGAAGGGGGCUAGCGUUGCUCGGAAUCACUGGGCGUAAAGGGUGCGUAGGCGGGUCUUUAAGUCAGGGGUGAAAUCCUGGAGCUCAACUCCAGAACUGCCUUUGAUACUGAAGAUCUUGAGUUCGGGAGAGGUGAGUGGAACUGCGAGUGUAGAGGUGAAAUUCGUAGAUAUUCGCAAGAACACCAGUGGCGAAGGCGGCUCACUGGCCCGAUACUGACGCUGAGGCACGAAAGCGUGGGGAGCAAACAGG